rnacentral:rRNA from 1 species
UGACGUAGCAUAGCUAGUUGUGAGUAACGCUCAGCAUGCACGAGUCUAUGCGACUGAGCGAAUCGCCACACUGGACUGGAUCCGAUCGAGAUCCUACGAGGCAGCAGUAGAUCUCGCCAAUUGACGACAGUCUGACUGACGCACGGCCGCGUGAGUGAAGAAGUCUCGAUCGUAAACUACGUUGUACGAGGAGGAACAAGGGAUGAGAGUAAAUAUGCUCAUCCAUGACGUAUCUAACCGAGAAAGCCACGCUAACUACGUGCAGCAGCCGCGUAAUACGUAGGUGGCAGCGUGUCUCGGAUUUAUUGGGCGUAAAGCGACGACGCAGGCGGUUCUCAAGUCUGAUGUGAAAGUCCCCCGGGCUCAACCGUGGAAGCGUGCAUUGGAAACUGGGCAGACUUGAGUGCAGAUAGAGGAGAGUGAGAAUUCCAUGUGUAGCGGUGAAAUGCGUAGAUAUAUGGAGGAACACCAGUGGCGAAGGCGGCUCUCUGGUCUGUAACUGACGCUGAGGCUCGAAAGCGUGGGGAGCGAACAGGAUUAGAUACCCUGGUAGUCCACGCCGUAAACGAUGAGUGCUAAGUGUUGGAGGGCCUCCGCCCUUCAGUGCUGCAGCAAACGCAUUAAGCACUCCGCCUGGGGAGUACGACCGCAAGGUUGAAACUCAAAGGAAUUGACGGGGGCCCGCACAAGCGGUGGAGCAUGUGGUUUAAUUCGAAGCAACGCGAAGAACCUUACCAGGUCUUGACAUCCUUUGACCACUCUAGAGAUAGAGCUUCCCCUUCGGGGGCAAAGUGACAGGUGGUGCAUGGUUGUCGUCAGCUCGUGUCGUGAGAUGUUGGGUUAAGUCCCGCAACGAGCGCAACCCUUAUUGUUAGUUGCCAUCAUUUAGUUGGGCACUCUAGCGAGACUGCCGGUGACAAACCGGAGGAAGGUGGGGAUGACGUCAAAUCAUCAUGCCCCUUAUGACGUGGGGUACACACGUGGUACAAUGGGAAGUACAACGAGUUGGGAAGUUGGGAGGAUCAGGUAAUCUUUUAAAGCUUCUUUCAGUUCGGAUUGUAGGUUGCAACUUGCCUACAUGAAGCUGGAAUCGCUAGUAAUCGCGGAUCAGCACGCCGCGGUGAAUACGUUCCCGGGCCUUGUACACACCGCCCGUCACACCACGAGAGUUUGUAACACCAGAAGUCGGUGAGGUAACCUUUUGGAGCCAACUUCCCCAUUUUUUU